rnacentral:rRNA from 1 species
UACAGAGGGGGCAAGCGUUAUUCGGAAUUAUUGGGCGUAAAGGGCGCGUAGGCGGCGAUUCAAGUGACGGGUGAAAUCCCUCGGCUUAACCGAGGAACUGCCUGUCAGACUGGAUUGCUUGAGUCCGGGAGAGGCGAGUGGAAUUCCCAGUGUAGCGGUGAAAUGCGUAGAUAUUGGGAGGAACACCAGUGGCGAAGGCGGCUCGCUGGACCGGAACUGACGCUGGUGCGCGAAAGCGUGGGUAGCAAACAGG